GGGGCUGUGGCCUAACCUGGUAGGGCGAUGGGCUCCAGACCCGUCGAUUGUGAGUUCAAAUCUCACCGGCCCCA
rnacentral:tRNA from 1 species